AUUGAACGCUGGCGGAAUGCUUUACACAUGCAAGUCGAACGGCAGCACGGACUUCGGUCUGGUGGCGAGUGGCGAACGGGUGAGUAAUGUAUCGGAACGUGCCCAGUCGUGGGGGAUAACGUAGUGAAAAUUACGCUAAUACCGCAUACGAUCUAUGGAUGAAAGCGGGGGAUCGCAAGACCUCGCGCGAUUGGAGCGGCCGAGAUCAGAUUAGGUAGUUGGUGGGGUAAAGGCCCACCAAGCCAACGAUCUGUAGCUGGUCUGAGAGGACGACCAGCCACACUGGAACUGAGACACGGUCCAGACUCCUACGGGAGGCAGCAGUGGGGAAUUUUGGACAAUGGGCGAAAGCCUGAUCCAGCCAUUCCGCAUGCAGGAUGAAGGCCCUCGGGUUGUAAACUGCUUUUGUACAGAACGAAAAGGUUUCUACUAAUACUAGGAGCUCAUGACGGUACUGUAAGAAUAAGCACCGGCUAACUACGUGCCAGCCGCCGCGGUAA
rnacentral:rRNA from 1 species